UACGUAGGGACCAAGCGUUGUUCGGAUUUACUGGGCGUAAAGGGAGCGUAGGCGGCAAUUCAAGUCAGUUGUGAAAUCUUAAGGCUUAACCUUAAACGGUCAACUGAUACUGCUUUGCUAGAGUACAGAAGGGGCAAUCGGAAUUCUUGGUGUAGCGGUGAAAUGCGUAGAUAUCAAGAGGAACACCUGAGGUGAAGACGGGUUGCUGGGCUGAUACUGACGCUGAGGCUCGAAAGCUAGGGGAGCAAACGUG
rnacentral:rRNA from 1 species